CAUGCCGUAAACGGUGGCAACUAGAUGUAGGGACCAUUCCACGGUUUCUGUGUCGUAGCUAACGCAUUAAGUUGCCCGCCUGGGGAGUACGGCCGCAAGGCUAAAACUCAAAGGAAUUGACGGGGGCCCGCACAAGCGGCGGAGCAUGCGGAUUAAUUCGAUGCAACGCGAAGAACCUUACCAAGGCUUGACAUAUAGAAGAACACUGUAGAGAUACAGGACUCUUUGGACACUUCUAUACAGGUGG
rnacentral:rRNA from 1 species